rnacentral:rRNA from 1 species
UACGGAGGGGGCUAGCGUUGUUCGGAAUUACUGGGCGUAAAGCGCACGCAGGCGGUUUGGUAAGUCAGGGGUGAAAGCCCACAGCUUAACUGUGGAACUGCCUUUGAUACUGCCUUUCUAGAGUGCAUGAGGGGGAAGCGGAAUUCCGAGUGUAGAGGUGAAAUUCGUAGAUAUUCGGAGGAACACCGGUGGCGAAGGCGGCUUCCUGGCAUGUAACUGACGCUCAGGUGCGAAAGCGUGGGUAGCAAACAGGAUUAGAUACCCUGGUAGUCCACGCCCUAAACGAUGGUCACUAGGUGUGGGAGGUAUCGACCCCUUCCGUGCCGCAGCUAACGCAUUAAGUGCCCCGCCUGGGGAGUACGGCCGCAAGGUUGAAACUUAAAGGAAUUGACGG